CACACAGCAUGGGCGUGUGCACACACUCAGAAGCCUGCGAUGUUAUCGCGGGAUAUCAUCCUGCCUCACUUCCUGUACUGGAUCGUCACUGUGCAUCACAUGACUGCAGGCUGCUUUUUGUCAUGGUCCAUGUUAAGCUUCUGGUGUGGAGCUGGAGCAAGUGCGUGAUGCUGGCCCUGUUGUAGGCUCUCUCGAGGAGUGCACACCGUGGGUGUAACCCCGAGAGCACACGUUAGGAGAACACACACUGCAGACCUGUAGCUCACACGCUUAAAUGAAGACGAUGUCUCAAUGACACUGAAAAACUCUGAGGACAAACGGAACAUGAAGAAGGCUGAGAAAACAUGACAGAAGCAGUGUGAUGUGGAACUUUAGACUGAACUCUGGAUCUGAAAAAGAAGAAAAUAGUAAGAAAACUGGUAAAAUUUGAAUAAAAUCUGCAGAUCAGGCUACCACAUGGAUGAGGUUAAGAAGCCUCCUGUGCAGUUGCCCCACUAUGCUGCAGAUCCAAAGCCACAGGUCAAAUAACCAUGGACCAAAACCACUAAAACCAUGA